CUACGGGAGGCUGCAGUGGGGAAUAUUGCACAAUGGAGGAAACUCUGAUGCAGCAACGCCGCGUGGAGGAUGACACUUUUCGGAGCGUAAACUCCUUUUAUAUAGGAAGAAGAUGACGGUACUAUAUGAAUAAGCGCCGGCUAACUCCGUGCCAGCAGCCGCGGUAAUACGGAGGGCGCAAGCGUUACUCGGAAUCACUGGGCGUAAAGAGCGUGUAGGCGGAUUAAAAAGUCAGAAGUGAAAUCCUAUAGCUUAACUAUAGAACUGCUUCUGAAACUCUUAAUCUAGAAUAUGGGAGAGGUAGACGGAAUUUCUGGUGUAGGGGUAAAAUCCGUAGAGAUCAGAAGGAAUACCGAUUGCGAAGGCGAUCUACUAGAACAUUAUUGACGCUGAGACGCGAAAGCGUGGGGAGCAAACAGGAUUAGAUACCCCAGAGUC
rnacentral:rRNA from 1 species